AGUGAACGCUGGCGGUAGGCCUAACACAUGCAAGUCGAACGGCAGCACAGUAAGAGCUUGCUCUUACGGGUGGCGAGUGGCGGACGGGUGAGGAAUACAUCGGAAUCUACUUUUUCGUGGGGGAUAACGUAGGGAAACUUACGCUAAUACCGCAUACGACCUACUGGUGAAAGCAGGGGAUCUUCGGACCUUGCGCGAUUGAAUGAGCCGAUGUCGGAUUAGCUAGUUGGCGGGGUAAAGGCCCACCAAGGCGACGAUCCGUAGCUGGUCUGAGAGGAUGAUCAGCCACACUGGAACUGAGACACGGUCCAGACUCCUACGGGAGGCAGCAGUGGGGAAUAUUGGACAAUGGGCGCAAGCCUGAUCCAGCCAUACUGCGUGGGUGAAGAAGGCCUUCGGGUUGUAAAGCCCUUUUGUUGGGAAAGAAAAGCAGCAGGUUAAUACCCCGCUGUUCUGACGGUACCCAAAGAAUAAGCACCGGCUAACUUCGUG
rnacentral:rRNA from 1 species